GUCCACGCCUAACGAUGUCUACUAGUUGUCGGUCUUAAUUGACUUGGUAACGCAGCUAACGCGUGAAGUAGACCGCCUGGGGAGUACGGUCGCAAGAUUAAACUCAAAGGAAUUGACGGGACCCGCACAAGCGGUGGAUGAUGUGGAUUAAUUCGAUGCAACGCGAAACCUUACCUACCCUUGACAUGGAAGGAAUCCCUGAGAGAUUGGGGAGUGCCCGAAAGGGAACCUUUACACAGGUGCUGCAUGGCUGUCGU
rnacentral:rRNA from 1 species